rnacentral:lncRNA from 1 species
CCCUCUCCGCUUCUUCAUCUUCUACUGCCUCAUGGUCCAUCUAGUUGUAGUGAUGGUCCGUUUGCUCAUGUUUCUGAUGACCAAUCUACUUAGGCUUCUGAACAUUCUUAGCAAAUAUCCUAAGAUCUGAAACCAUGUUUAUGAUGUUGUUGAUGAAGUGAACGGUUAGCCUCGUACAUUUUUCCAUCGUAGGUGGAACUCUUUCGUCUUCAUUGUCUAUACUGCAGGUGAUAGUCUGAAUGAUUUCUCCAUUUAUACUUCUCAUCCUUGCUAGCAACACAAAAACAAUAAAUAUAAAAUAAACAUAUCAAUAAUUUCUAUAUAUAUUUCAAAAGUUUUGAAAUCUUCAAAAUAUUUUAUGUUCA